rnacentral:rRNA from 1 species
CUUGGUGAUUAUAGCGGCGGGGGUACACCCGGUCCCAUCCCGAACCCGGCAGUUAAGCCCGCUAGCGCCGAUGGUACUUGAGGGGCGACCCUCUGGGAGAGUAGGUCAUCGCCAAGAA